UGGCAGGAUUCUCUGGAAAAGAAAAAAAGAGUCAUUCCAGGGCACCCCUACUCCUGAGAAGAAGGGCACAGGGACCCAUUCCUGUAUUCUGGCUGUGUUCCCACCCACACCACCUCCAAGAACCUAAUUUAUCAAUCAGGAGAUAGGAGAAAGUGUCCCUUAUUCUGAGAUUCUCAUUUGAGGGAAGGGAGUCAUACAUCUCAGUUGAAUUUGCCUCCCGUCCCUCUCGAGAUGUCACUCUGCCAUCCUUCUGCUGCCUUUCUCUUCUCUGGCCUGCCUGUCUACCUUAAAAUGUACAUCUUUCAGACAACGGAUGUCAUCGUAGGUACUUGAAGUUGGAAGGCAGCAGAUCUAAACAAGGAUGUUGCAUUGUACAGUAUCUAAACCAAAUCUCCUCUUUGUUAUUUCCUCCAGUUCUUUUCCUCUCUUGUUUUUUUUUUAACCUUAACUGGAACAAUCUCUGCUUUUCAUUUCUCAUUAGGCGACUGAUGUAUUCUAGCUUUCUGCAUUUUAUGUUUUCUGCUUUCUUCUUCCUUGUGUCCUUCCUUUUCCUCACCUUGAAAUAAAUCUAUGUGUGAAAUGCUUCCAAACUUUUUAAUAGUUGCCUGUGUAGAAUGAUUCCUUGCCAAGCAGCCAAACCAGUGAUAAAUUAAGCCCGCAAUCCUAGACAUGUCCUUGUUGUGAGUAACCAGACUGAACUCAAUGGGAGUCCUUUUUAAGGAAAAAAUAUGUGGGAUAGCACUCUAAAGGCAAAAGCUUGGGAUCUCAACCAAAGCUGUGUUAGAAUAUCUGUGGAUGGUAGGCUUAUCUCUAAGUAAACAUGAACAAUACACUGUAAAUUCCCACCUUUUCUGGUCAGUUUCAGGAGGCAAUUGCUUUUUCUAGUAAAUUUCAAAAUUGAUUCCUUG